rnacentral:rRNA from 1 species
CGCUGGCGGCGUGCCUAAUACAUGCAAGUCGAACGGUCUUUCUAUGGAAGCUUGCUUCCACUGAGAAGAUAGUGGCGAACGGGUGAGUAACACGUGGGUAACCUGCCCAUAAGAGGGGGAUAACAUCCGGAAACGGGUGCUAAUACCGCAUAGUUUUCUUGAUCGCAUGAUCGGGAAAGGAAAGACGGCCUUUGUGCUGUCGCUUAUGGAUGGACCCGCGGCGUAUUAGUUAGUUGGUGAGGUAACGGCUCACCAAGACGAUGAUACGUAGCCGACCUGAGAGGGUGAUCGGCCACAUUGGGACUGAGACACGGCCCAAACUCCUACGGGAGGCAGCAGUAGGGAAUCUUCCGCAAUGGACGAAAGUCUGACGGAGCAACGCCGCGUGAGUGAAGAAGGUUUUCGGAUCGUAAAACUCUGUUGUCAGAGAAGAACAAGUCGGAGAGUAACUGCUCCGGCCUUGACGGUAUCUGACCAGAAAGCCACGGCUAACUACGUGCCAGCCGCCGC